GAUGAACGCUAGCUACAGGCUUAACACAUGCAAGUUGAGGGGCAGCAUGGUCUUAGCUUGCUAAGGCCGAUGGCGACCGGCGCACGGGUGAGUAACACGUAUCCAACCUGCCGUCUACUCUUGGACAGCCUUCUGAAAGGAAGAUUAAUACAAGAUGGCAUCAUGAGUCCGCAUGUUCACAUGAUUAAAGGUAUUCCGGUAGACGAUGGGGAUGCGUUCCAUUAGAUAGUAGGCGGGGUAACGGCCCACCUAGUCUUCGAUGGAUAGGGGUUCUGAGAGGAAGGUCCCCCACAUUGGAACUGAGACACGGUCCAAACUCCUACGGGAGGCAGCAGUGAGGAAUAUUGGUCAAUGGGCGAGAGCCUGAACCAGCCAAGUAGCGUGAAGGAUGAAGGUCCUACGGAUUGUAAACUUCUUUAUACGGGAAUAAAGUUUCCUACGUGUAGGAUUUUGUAUGUACCGUAUGAAUAAGCAUCGGCUAACUCCGUGCC
rnacentral:rRNA from 1 species